UACUAGAGUAGCACUCGCAUAUCAAUAAGCGGAGGAAAAGAAACUAACAAGGAUUCCCCUAGUAACGGCGAGUGAAGCGGGAAGAGCUCAAAUUUGAAAUCUUAAAGGGUUUCCCUUUACGAAUUGUAGUUUAAAGAAGUGUUUUCUGUUGAGGUUUUGGUAAAAGUUCUUUGGAAUAGGACAUCAUAGAGGGUGAGAAUCCCAUAUUUGACCUUUACUUUCAACUUUGUGAUACACUUUCAAAGAGUCGGAUUGUUUGGGAAUGCAGUCCAAAAUGGGUGGUAAAUUUCAUCUAAAGCUAAAUAUUGGCGAGAGACCGAUAGCGAACAAGUACCGUGAGGGAAAGAUGAAAAGAACUUUGAAAAGAGAGUUAAACAGUACGUGAAAUUGUCAAAAGGGAAGCGUUUGACACCAGUGUUGUUUUUCUGAAAAUCAAUUAAAGAACUGUUUAUGCUAAGUUGUUUAGACUUUAUCAGCUAACUGUUUAGUUUUGAGCUUUUCUUUAAUGCACUUUUCAGUUAACAAGUCAACAUCAAUUUCUUUUGCUGUAAAAAAGCUUGAGGAAGGUGGCUUGAGAUUCGUCUUAAGUGUUUAUAGCCUCUUGCCUAUGCAGUCGGAGAGAUUGAGGUCUGCAGCGUAGAUCCUUCGGGGCUAAAUGCAUUUGUGCUAAGUUAUAGCAUUUUAUAGACAACUUGUUGACUAUGAUUUGUCUUGUAGCUUACUCGCUUAUGUUAUUUUACCUACGCUUAGGAUGUUGAGCGCAUGUCUCUCUCU
rnacentral:rRNA from 1 species